AGUGAACGCUGGCGGUAGGCCUAACACAUGCAAGUCGAACGGCAGCACAGGAAAGCUUGCUCUCUGGGUGGCGAGUGGCGGACGGGUGAGGAAUACAUCGGAAUCUACCUUUUCGUGGGGGAUAACGUAGGGAAACUUACGCUAAUACCGCAUACGACCUACGGGUGAAAGUGGGGGACCGCAAGGCCUCACGCGAUUAGAUGAGCCGAUGUCCGAUUAGCUAGUUGGCGGGGUAAUGGCCCACCAAGGCGACGAUCUGAAGCUGGUCUGAGAGGAUGAUCAGCCACACUGGAACUGAGACACGGUCCAGACUCCUACGGGAGGCAGCAGUGGGGAAUAUUGGACAAUGGGCGCAAGCCUGAUCCAGCCAUACCGCGUGGGUGAAGAAGGCCUUCGGGUUGUAAAGCCCUUUUGUUGGGAAAGAAAUCCUGUCGAUUAAUACUCGGUGGGGAUGACGGUACCCAAAGAAUAAGCACCGGCUAACUUCGUGCCAGCCGCCGCAGUAACAC
rnacentral:rRNA from 1 species